rnacentral:lncRNA from 1 species
AUAGGAGUCCGAACGGAGUCUACCUGCAAUUGAAGUCGGGGACGAAGUUCGGCUCCCGUAGGAGUCCGGAUGAAGUCUACCUGCAAUUGAAGUCGAAGGCGAAGUCCGGCUCCCGUAGGAGUCCGGGCGAAGUCUUCCUGCAGCCGGAGUCGGGGACGAAGUCCGGACGAAGUCUACCUACAAUUGAAGUUGGGGACGAAGUCCGGCUCCCGUAGGGGUCCGGACGAAGUCUUCCUACAGCCGAAGUCGGGGACGAAGUCCGGCUCCCGUAGGAGUCCGGACGGAGUCUACCUGCAAUUGAAGUCGGGGACGAAGUCCGGCUCCCGUAGGAGUCCGGACGAAGUCUACCUGCAAUUGAAGUCGAGGGUGAAGUCCGGCUCCCGUAGGAGUCUGGGCGAAGUCCUCCUGCAGUCGGAGUCGGGGACGAAGUCCGGACGAAGUCUACCUGCAAUUGAAGUUGGGGACGAAGUCCGGCUCCCGUAGGGGUCCGGAUGAAGUCUACCUGCAAUUGAAGUCGAGGGGGA